rfam:Scardovia inopinata F0304 genomic scaffold supercont1.2, whole genome shotgun sequence.
UUUCCGCACUAGGGGAGUCCAUGUUCUGGACUGAGACGCGCGCAGCGACGCGUAAACUCUUUGAACCUGUUAAGUCGAUGCUUGCGAAGGAAAGUGCUUUUUCUUUUUU